GCAUUGGUGAUUCAGUGGUAAAAUUCUUGAUUUCUAUGUGGGUGACUGGGGUUCAAUUCCUGGCCAGUGUA
rnacentral:tRNA from 1 species